UGGGGAAUAUUGCACAAUGGAGGGAACUCUGAUGCAGCGACGCCGCGUGAACGAAGAAGGCUUUCGAGUCGUAAAGUUCUUUUAUAUGGGAAGAUAAUGAUGGUACCAUAAGAAAAAGCCCCGGCUAACUACGUGCCAGCAGCCGCGGUAAUACGUAGGGGGCUAGCGUUGUCCGGAAUCACUGGGCGUAAAGGGUUCGCAGGCGGAAAUGCAAGUCAGGUGUAAAAGGCAGUAGCUUAACUACUGUAAGCAUUUGAAACUGCAUAUCUUGAGAAGAGUAGAGGUAAGUGGAAUGUUUAGUGUAGCGGUGAAAUGCGUAGAUAUUAAAAAGAAUACCGGUGGCGAAGGCGACUUACUGGGCUCAUUCUGACGCUGAGGAACGAAAGCGUGGGUAGCAAACAGG
rnacentral:rRNA from 1 species